rnacentral:rRNA from 1 species
CGAAUGCUGACAUAAGUAACGAUAAAGCGGGUGAAAAGCCCGCUCGCCGGAAGACCAAGGGUUCCUGUCCAACGUUAAUCGGGGCAGGGUGAGUCGACCCCUAAGGCGAGGCCGAAAGGCGUAGUCGAUGGGAAACAGGUUAAUAUUCCUGUACUUGGUGUUACUGCGAAGGGGGGACGGAGAAGGCUAUGUUGGCCGGGCGACGGUUGUCCCGGUU